UCAUUAUCAACCAUCAAGCACUGCUUGGCAUUGGCCGACACCCCUUCUCAGGGAGGGGAGCGGUCUAAACGCGUUGGCUUCGGGUACGGACCGCGAGCGUUAGUAACACUUCCCGCUCAGUUGGUCUAUAUCUGUUGGCUUCCAAAACCAAACACCUCAAGGUUGACCUCGGAUCAGGUAGGGAUACCCGCUGAACUUAA
rnacentral:misc_RNA from 1 species